CCCUAGCCUGUUCGCGGACAGCUUCAGGGGAGACCUCGUUGGUGUCUUCAUAUGCCUUGUGAUCGGAUGCUACCUGCUCCAAGAACACAUCAAGGCGUCAGGUGGAUUCAGGAACGCCUUCAGGAAGGGCAAUGGUGUGUCCAACUCCAUCGGCAUCCUCCUGCUCUUCAUCUACCCUGUCUGGGCCGGUGUGCUGCAAGUCCUGUAGGCACCAUUGCCUCAGUGUUUCCCCUGUGCGGUCCAGCUCCGUUCCCGUUCGUGCCCGUGCAAAUGUUCCCUCUAUGGUGAUCCGUGAUCCUGUGUCACGAGUAGGUGAUGUUUUUAUGUGUGCUUGAGUUGAUCGGUUGGGCAUGUUGCCAUGUUGGUGGACAGUUUUGUUUAUCUCAUUUGUUGUAGUUCGAUGUCAGCAUUUGGUUCGUUCGAGUACAUAAACGCCAAUAAAAUCAGUAGCCGUGGCUUGAUGUAGAUUGAGAUGUUGGUCAUAUUAUCUCGUGUAAAUCCCUGCGUCUCUUCUGUUAUAGUGUUAUGCAAGCUAGAGGACGCAUGUUUAUAUGUCAACUAAUUAUUUUCUAUAUCAACAGCAUCAUCCGGUGUUAUUUCUGAAUAUGGUGCCAACUAGUGACAAAACCGUGAAACAUCAACCGGCCGGAGUUGAGAACGAUCUGGGCUGCGGCCGGUCAGCUUGUGGAUGGGCGAACUUUUCUGCUCCGGCAUCCACGCUGCUGUCCUCCUACAUACACCUGGCAUCCUGGCGGCCGUUGGUUCAGCAAACUUUGCCUGCCAUUCACUCGCACGUACCCGUCGGACCACGCGUGGUGGCCGGCACAUUCCUCCUCGCCCGGCCCUUAUCCUCUGCCCAACUGCAACAGGAGAGAAGCGAUGCGAUAUUCCUGUUCUGUAACAGAUCGAAUUCUCCAGCAUCUUCAGUUGUGCG
rnacentral:misc_RNA from 1 species